rnacentral:lncRNA from 1 species
GAGGGGUGAAUUUUGGGGGCUUCCUCUUCACCUUGAAGGAGAUGUGUUCUCAGAAUGUAGGCCUUUUCACAUCCUCAUGAGCAUAUUAUUGCUCACUAAUGGGAUUAAUGUGCUAGUUCUCUGGGUUAUGUGCAUUUUGACAAGGACCUUUUGGGGAUAAUAUCACAAACCUCCUCAGAACAGUGCAAACUUCUAAUAGCAAGCAGUGUCAUUGUAGUGCUCUAAAAAUUUUGAUUUUGGGCAAAGUGAUCAGAGCUUAGGUGAGAGCCAGGGUUUGACCAACAUUCUGUGGAAGGUUGGGCCUGAUAAGGCAUACUCCUUUGGCCACCAAGAGGGCUCAGCUGCAGGGGAGAGGCAGAUUAGAAACAGCUGAAGCCCAGUACCCUAUCCUACUCUGGCUGAACUGGUAUCCAAGUUGCAAGACAAAGUCCUUUUCACUCUUCC